GAUAUCAAGAAGAACACCGGUGCUGAAGGCGGCUCUUGUGAAUGUUACUGACACUGAGGCACGAAAGCUGGGGGAGCAAACAGGAUUAGAUACCCUGGUAGUCCCAGCCGUAAACGGUGUGCACUUGGUGUUGNCGGUAUUGACCCCGCCAGUGCCGGAGCUAACGCGUUAAGUGCACCGCCUGGGGAGUACGGCCGCAAGGUUAAAACUCAAAGAAAUUGACGGGGGCCCGCACAAGCGGAGGAGCAUGUGGCUUAAUUCGAUGCAACGCGAAGAACCUUACCUGGGUUUGACAUCGGAGAGGCUUGCCUCUAGCGCGUGAAAGCGCGUUAACCUGACAGGUGCUGCAUGGCUGUCGUCAGUUCGUGCCGUGAGGUGUUGGGUUAAGUCCCGCAACGAACGCAACCCUUGUGUUUAGUUGCCACCCCCGAGCAAUCGGGGCGCACUCUAAACAGACUGCCCGUACAAGCGGGAGGAAGGUGGGGAUGACGUCAAGUCCGUAUGGCCCUUACACCCAGGGCUGCACACGUGCUACAAUGGCCGGUACAGAGGGCUGCGAGACCGCGAGGUUCAGCAAAUCCCUAAAAGCUGGCCCCAGUUCGGAUUGCGGUCUGCAACUCGACUGCAUGAAGUGGAUUCGCUAGUAAACGGGCGUAUCAGCUACGACGCCGUGAUACGUUCCCGGGCAUGGACACACCGCCCCGUCACAUCAUGGGAGUCGUCUGCACCCG
rnacentral:rRNA from 1 species